UUACGGCUAUAUCACGGUGAAACACCAGUUCUUAUCCGAUCAGCGAAGUUAAGCAAUGUUGAACUUGGCCAGUGCCUAGAUGGGUGACCAUUUUCGAAUACCAGGUGCUGUAAG